UACGAAGGGGGCUAGCGUUGCUCGGAAUCACUGGGCGUAAAGCGCACGUAGGCGGAUUGUUAAGUCAGGGGUGAAAUCCUGGAGCUCAACUCCAGAACUGCCUUUGAUACUGGCGAUCUCGAGUCCGGGAGAGGUGAGUGGAACUGCGAGUGUAGAGGUGAAAUUCGUAGAUAUUCGCAAGAACACCAGUGGCGAAGGCGGCUCGCUGGGACGGUACUGACGCUGAGACGCGAAAGCGUGGGGAGCAAACAGG
rnacentral:rRNA from 1 species